GGGAGAAAGGGAGGGGGGACCGGAGAAAAAAACUAAUUUCUAACUAAAUUAUAUUGUAAUCUUUUAUUUAUUAAAACACAAGUCACUCACAUAAUAAAAAUCUGGAACAUGGAAUUGUGCUUUAAAAAAAAAAUUCAACUAAUUUCUUGAUUUUCAAUUUUUUGGUAAAAAAAAACUUAAUCCCUAAAAUUUCUCAUGUCAAUGUCAACACGUUCACAUUUCUUAAAGAAUUUUAUUUAUAAUUAAAAAUCAUGUCACAAUUCAAACUGUUUUAACUCUUUUUUUAACACCAAUUAACUCUUUUAUAAAUUCAAAAAACUUAUUUAUUCUCCCUACCAUCUUUUUCUCUAUCUUCUCUUUCUCUUCCAAUUCUUCUACAUCUUUUUCUUCUCGUGUUUUGAGUGUAGUAAAAGAUCUAUACAAGUUUUUAUUUCAGAUUUAAUUUGCUCAUUUUCAAUUCAGUGUUCUCUCAUUUUCUUAAUUCUUUAGGCAUGAUUGAGGUUGAAGAUGAUACUUAAAUAUACUCCAGUUUCAAAGCUUUUUUUCAAACAAGAAAGAAAAAUCAGAAUUUUGUCAGCAAUUUUAGGUUAAUGAUGACUAAAGAAGGAAGCUAUGGAGAAGAAACCCAAAAUGUUGAAUAUGACAUGUGAAUAUACUCAUGUUUUAAUCGUCAACAAUCAAGCCUUGAAGAAAUCUUAUCAUGUGGCUAACACAUGUGAUGCUGCUUUCAAAGAUGUGGAAAAACAGAAGUGGUCCAGACUAGUCACGUGCUGCCACGUGUCGGUUCUCUAUCCCUGGCGAUGCCGAAAUGUUGAUUCCCCAGUGACCGAGACUCGAACUCUGGUGGCUUCACUGUAUUGGGCUUUUUUCCUCAUGUUAAUCACCACCAGGCCACAAGCUUUGGUUUUUAAAUAAUUAUUUACCGGUGUUUCUCUGACUUCAGUAGAUUUAAGUCCCAUAAGUAAAUAUAUGGAUUUAAUAAGAAUAAAAUUUUUUUAAGAAUGUAAUUUCUCUUUAGUGGUUCUUAUUAGAAAGCACCAAAUUUAAUCUUAUCAUGUGUUUAUAUAUUAUUUUGAAAAUUUUAACUAUUACAAUAAAUUUUAUAAUUUGAUAUA